UCGGCCCCGCUCUCGAGGCUGACACCGCCCGGAGACUCUCAGUCUGGGCUGUGGGAAGGGGACGUGCCCUCCCUGCAGCUUGCGGCUCCGCGAAGCAGCGGUUCAUGUCAGUCCAACCCUGCAAUGAGCCCCCAAACACCCAGCGCCCGUUACGGGUUCAAAGCAUCGGAACACGCGUGAGUGCGGUUCGUCGGGGGGCCGUCGGUGCCCCUCGCUGCCGACAGGGACCGACCUGGGCGUGAAAGAGGCAGUCUGAGCUCUGAGCGGGAACCAGCGGGACUGAACAGGCACGGCUGGCCAGGGGCCAGGUCCUCCUUGUCCUGCCCCAUCUUGGUGGAUGGGGAAGCUCCGGGAGCCGGAGUUUGGGUGCCUGCCGGGGAGGACGCGCCCGUUCAGGCUAUGCAGGGCUGUGCUGGACACCAAGGCUGUGCUGGACACCACGGCUGCCCCUCGGGGCAGCCCUUCCCCAGCCCCAGGGGCCGCUCGCCCGCCCUGUGGCCACGGGCAGCCGGGCCCCGAGCGCUCGGUGCCGUCCCCGGGCGCGUCCAGCCCUCCGCCUCCCCUGUCUGGAAGCGGCGGGCAGGCCGAGCUUUGUGCGGGUAACUUGAUGCUGAUGACAGUUGGCAGCUGCAGUUCCCCCGGCAUACUGAGGCAAAUAAAAGCAUUAGGGCUCGUCCCCGAGGAGAGCGACAGGUGUUCGCUCCCGCUCCUUUGUUUCCCUCCUUUUAUUCUCUUCGCUAAUGCAUGUCAUAUUUUUACCCCCCGAGGAAACGGGAGACGCGUCCGCCGCUUGACUCGGCACUGCCGCACGUUCGCCUCCCUCUAUGCGUCCGGCAUAGCUCCGCUCCCGCUCCAGCUUUUCUCCCGGUUUGUUUCGCCAUGGAAAGCCCAGUGGUUUUGGUGGUGCUGAGGUUAUCCUUGCUGAGAGGUCUGAUGUGAGCUGCGGGCGCCCACAGCUGCGUAGAGCCUCGUGACCCCCGGCUCCAUCAUUUGUUACGGAUCCGCACCUGUAGAUGAUGCAGCUGUGGUGGUAAAGGCAACUGUGGGAGGCAAUCCUGCAGCUUCAGCUAUGUGCCAUGUGUUUUGGAGGGCCAGACUUGGCAGCAGCACUGGUGUUCAUCAGCUGGGGCACAGAAGAACAGUUUCUGCCAGCCACAACACUAAUGAGUACAUUCAAAAGGGUCUUAUGUCCUUUCACAGAAGAGCCCCCAGACCCUGUUUGCUGCCUGUGAAGGCUUGGAGUCCCCUUUGUGUGAGAGAAUGUUUUCUGCCAUUUCAAAGACUCUGGGCUCAGUGGAGAGG